rnacentral:rRNA from 1 species
GGUAACGGCCCACCAAGGCGACGAUCAGUAGCCGGCUUGAGAGAGUGGACGGCCACAUUGGGACUGAGACACGGCCCAAACUCCUACGGGAGGCAGCAGUGGGGAAUAUUGCACAAUGGGGGAAACCCUGAUGCAGCGACGCCGCGUGAGUGAAGAAGUAUUUCGGUAUGUAAAGCUCUAUCAGCAGGGAAGAAAAAAGACGGUACCUGACUAAGAAGCCCCGGCUAACUACGUGCCAGCAGCCGCGGUAAUACGUAGGGGGCAAGCGUUAUCCGGAAUUACUGGGUGUAAAGGGUGCGUAGGUGGCAUGGUAAGUCAGAAGUGAAAGCCCGGGGCUUAACCCCGGGACUGCUUUUGAAACUGUCAUGCUGGAGUGCAGGAGAGGUAAGCGGAAUUCCUAGUGUAGCGGUGAAAUGCGUAGAUAUUAGGAGGAACACCAGUGGCGAAGGCGGCUUACUGGACUGUCACUGACACUGAUGCACGAAAGCGUGGGGAGCAAACAGGAUUAGAUACCCUGGUAGUCCACGCCGC